rfam:Salvelinus alpinus DNA, Fok-206 (SA) FokI SINE repeat sequence.
AACUUUCCAAUUUGUAAGUCGCUCUGGAUAAGAGCGUCUGCUAAAUGACUUAAA